GCGCAAGUGGUGAAAUUGGUAUACACGCUACUUUGAGGGGGUAGUGGGCGUUAGCCCGUGGGGGUUCGAAUCCCCCUUUGCGCA
rnacentral:tRNA from 3 species